UACGGAGGGAGCUAGCGUUGUUCGGAAUUACUGGGCGUAAAGCGCGCGUAGGCGGCUUUGUAAGUUAGAGGUGAAAGCCCGGGGCUCAACCCCGGAAUUGCCUUUAAGACUGCAUCGCUUGAAUCCGGGAGAGGUGAGUGGAAUUCCGAGUGUAGAGGUGAAAUGCGUAGAUAUCAGGAGGAAUACCGAUGGCGAAGGCAGGUCUCUGGGCUGACACUGACGCUCAUGCACGAAAGCGUGGGGAGCAAACAGG
rnacentral:rRNA from 1 species